GGAGGGGGCGAGCGUUGUCCGAAGUCACUGGGCGUAAAGCGCGCGUAGGCGGGCGGCUAAGUGGGGAGUGAAAGGCUGGGGCUCAACCCCAUGCAGUGCUCCUCAUACUGGUCGUCUUGAGGGCGGUAGGGAGAAGUGGAAUGGCUGGUGUAGCGGUGAAAUGCGUAGAUAUCAGUCGGAACACCGGUGGCGAAGGCGGCUUCUUGGGCCGUUCCUGACGCUGAGGCGCGAAAGCUGGGGGAGCGAACGGGAUUAGAUACCCCGGUAGUCCCAGCCGUAAACGAUGGACACUAGGUGUCGGGGGUAUCGACCCCCCCGGUGCCGCAGCUAACGCACUAAGUGUCCCGCCUGGGGAGUACGGCCGCAAGGUUG
rnacentral:rRNA from 1 species